GACGAACGCUGGCGGCGUGCUUAACACAUGCAAGUCGAGCGGUAAGGCCCUUUCGGGGGUACGACGAGCGGCGAACGGGUGAGUAACACGUGGGUGACCUGCCCUUAGCUCUGGGAUAAAGCCUGGGGAACGUGGGUCUAAUACCGGAUAUGACUCCAUGACGCAUGUUGUGGGGUGGAAAGCCUUGUGCGGCUAGGGAGU
rnacentral:rRNA from 1 species